CCGGAGGCCGGGGCAGCUCUUUGCCAGGACACCAGGAUGAGACACAGCGCCCGCUGCGUCUAGGGGCAAGCUGGCCGGGGCGAGGUGGCCGGGACACGAACAGCUCAGCCAGCCAGAGUUUGUAUGAGCCGGCUGGGCCCCUACUGAGAGGCUGGGCCCCUUAAAAGUCCCUUCGGUAUGAACUGGCCUGAGAAAGACCAAAUUUAUUCACUGCGGGCAGGCGACCCCGGCCUGGGGAGCACCGAGGGGGGUGAGGCGCUGCCUGGAUCUCGCUCCUGAGUCAUUCUACAAGUUUCUUUGCCUAAGCUGGGCAAAUGUUAUGAAUCCUAUUAUUGUGAGCCUCCCCUCUAUAGGAAGUGGAGAAGGAGGCUUAGAGAGGUGAUGCUGUGUCCUACGACCUCUUUCCUCCUUCCUGCAAAUCCAGGGCUGUCCCCUCUGGGCCUUGUUGCUAACGCACAUUUCUUAUGCAUUUUUCUGCACUUAGGGUGGCUUCAGCUCAGACUGCCAGUUUGGAUGACCUGACUGGGCCUCUAUCUUAGAGGCUGCGUCCCUUAAAUAUCCCUAAAGUAUGAAACUGCUGGAGAAGGGCACACCUAGUUUGUCUAGGAGCCUGCCACUCUUCCACUUAGCAGCCCUCAGAACAGUCUCUGCCUCCUCCCCGCCAGCUCCACGGCAACAAAAUGGAGUAGUAAGGCCAGCCUUGGUCAAGGAGAGAUUACAGUCUGUGGGACCAAUAGAUGGCAAAUGGCCCAUCACAGCAUCCUGGGUGAGGUGCUCUGACAUGUCAACAUUAAACAUUUAAACACAUUAAAAAACUCUCCCUGGAAAACCCAGAGAACCACCAUCAGAUUUGGACUUGGGGAUUUUUCUCUUUGUGAUUUCGAGACUUGAAGGUCAGCUAGCUAUGAACUAGAAGAGAGAAGGAAAAGAUGUGCCCUAAACUGUUUAAGAACAAGCCAUUUCUACAAGGACUCCUGGUACCUUUGAGUGGAAAAUGAAGGAACCAAGCUCUGGGUGCCAGAGAGAGAGUGAGAUAGAGCGAGAGCACGC